ensembl:lncRNA LOC120096327 uncharacterized LOC120096327
AGGAUAGAUUGCUGAUGCCUGGCGGCGCGACCGCCCCUAAGCUCGCGCGCGGGGGCGGAGCCUCAGCUCGGGGCUUCGGCACGCGUCUAGGCGGGGUUGGGUUCCAGCGGGACUGCGCCUGUGCGCGCUGGUCUCAUUGCCUCUGGGAAGGGACAGGGGCGGGGGCCGAGGAGUCUGACAGGCGCCACCCCUUUUGUCGGUUUGUCCCAGAAAGGCUUUUUAGUUCGCGCAAAUAAUUCCACCUCACCCACUUCCAUUUUUUUCUAGGUUUAAAGAGAAACUUAGGAACAAUUGCAUUAAUUAGAAGCAUCCAGAAUGUCCACAAACAUCAGCUUGCGCACUGCAAAGAAAUAUCCGGCGAGCAGCACACAUGCUUCAUUUGUCCGAGUUAUGGAUGCUGGUUUAUUUGUUUGUCUUCAGCUCUGUCUGCAGCAAUGUACAUCAAGCCAUCGCCGCCUUGACUUCCCCACCUUGAUGGACUGAGAGUAAAGUAAACCCUUUCUCCGUAACUAAACUUCGUCACAUGAUUGUAUCAUGGUGACGAGGAAGGAAACCAAGACAGUUUAAAAUGUUUUCUUCUGAAUUAUGUAUCAUAAUUAUAAAUAUGUAUAAAUAUGUAUUAUUAUGUAUCAUACAUUAUAAAUAUGUGCACACACGGACAGGCAGACACACACCACACACACACACAGACACACAUCCAUAUAUUUUGGAGAUAGAGUUUUGCGGAACCCAGACUUAUCUUUACCUUGCUAUAUAGCCAAGGCUGGCCUUGAACUCCUGAUCCUCCUGUCUCUACCCUCCAAGUACUGGGAUUACAGUACCACUAUGCUUAGCUCUUACUAUUAUUAAGAAAAAUUCCAAGACCUUUUUUGGAUUUAUUUUUGUUUGUGUAUAUGUAUGUGUGAUUGUGUGGGUGUACACCACGUACAUGGUUGUGCCCUCAGAGGCUAAAAGAGGGUAUCAGACCUUCUGAAGCUGAAGUUACAGGGCAUUAUGAGUUACCCAAUAUGGGUACUGGGAACCAAACACGGGCCCUCUGUGAGAGCAACACUACUCCUAUCUGCUGAGUCAUCUCUCCAGCCCCCUGUUAUUAUUUUGAACAUACUUUUGGAUUGCCAAUAAGAAUGAAUAUAUAUUCUUUUCUUCUUUUUUCCUUCUUUCCUUUCAUUCUUUCUCCUCUCUUUGGUGAGAUGGGGCCUCACUGUGCUGCUAGGCUGGCCCCAACUACAGGUUCAGUGAUUCUCUUGCUUCACCACAUGACUGUCUGGAACAAAGGUGGACUCUACUCCCCCGGCA